rnacentral:rRNA from 1 species
CCUACGGGAGGCAGCAGUGAGGAAUAUUGGUCAAUGGACGCAAGUCUGAACCAGCCAUGCCGCGUGCAGGAAGACGGCUCUAUGAGUUGUAAACUGCGUUUGUACGGGAGUAAACGCAGAUACGCGUAUCUGUCUGAAAGUAUCUUACGAAUCAGGAUCGGCUCACUCCGUGCCAGCAGCCGCGGUAAUACGGAGGAUUCAAGCGUUAUCCGGAUUUAUUGGGUUUAAAGGGUGCGUAGGCGGUCGGAUAAGUUAGAGGUGAAAUCCCGAGGCUCAACUUCGGAAUUGCCUGUGAUACUGUUCGGCAAGAGAGUAGUUGCGGUAGGCAGAAUGUAUGGUGUAGCGGAGAAAUGGUUAGAGAUCAGACAGAACACCGAUUGCGAAGGCAGCUUACCAAGCUACUUCUGACGUUGAGGCACGAAAGCGUGGGGAGCAAACAGGAUUAGAUACCCGUGUAGUC